rnacentral:rRNA from 1 species
AGUGAACGCUGGCGGUAGGCCUAACACAUGCAAGUCGAACGGCAGCACAGUAAGGGCUUGCUCUUACGGGUGGCGAGUGGCGGACGGGUGAGGAAUACAUCGGAAUCUACUUUUUCGUGGGGGAUAACGUAGGGAAACUUACGCUAAUACCGCAUACGACCUACGGGUGAAAGCAGGGGAUCUUCGGACCUUGCGCGAUUGAAUGAGCCGAUGUCGGAUUAGCUAGUUGGCGGGGUAAAGGCCCACCAAGGCGACGAUCCGUAGCUGGUCUGAGAGGAUGAUCAGCCACACUGGAACUGAGACAGGGCCCAGACCCCAAGGGGAGGCAGAAGGGGGGAAUAUGGGAAAAGGGGGGAAAGCCUGACCCAGCCACACCGCGGGGGUGAAGAAGGCCUGCGGGUUGUAAAGCCUUUUUGUUGGGAAAAAAAAGCAGCAGGUUAAACCCCCGCUGUUCGGAGGUAACCCAAAAAAAAAGCACGGGCAAAUUUCGU